AAACAAGACUCUGAAGUUGCCAAGUUAAAAUGGCAAUCCAGCCCCAGCUGAAACUCCACCAAGCGAACAGCAACAUGUCCACGAACAGAAUUGUUUGACUCAAGAAUGGCCCCCACGAAGAGAAUGAAGUAGGACAUGACCCAGAUAAAAAUGUGCUCUGGGUCUAUGUUUUCCUUUGGGUGCAUUUCCUCUCAGACACAUUCAGAACUCGUAUCCC